GUUCGUUCAUUAAUAAAACGAAAAAAAAUAAUCCUCGCUUUAAUCUGCCGCAAAUCACAGAAGCCCCGAAGACCCCCGCACAUCUCCGCCGGCGAAACCCUAGCGGCGGCCGGCGAUGGGGGAGUACGCGGCGGUCAAGACGUCGGUGUGGUGGGACAUCGAGAACUGCGCCGUCCCGCGCAGCUGCGACCCCCAGCUCAUCGUCCAGAACAUGAGCUCCGCCCUCGCCACCGCCGGCUACCGCGGCCCCAUCUCCGUCUCCGCCUACGGGGACACCCACCAAAUCGCCCACAACGUCCAGCACGCCCUCUCCAGCACCGGCGUCUCCCUCCACCACGUCCCCGCCGGCAUUAAAGAUGCAAGUGAUAAGAAGAUCUUGGUUGACAUGCUGUUCUGGGCUAUUGACAAUCCUCCACCAGCAAAUUAUCUGCUUAUCUCUGGUGACCGGGACUUCUCUCAUGCCAUUCAUAAGCUUAAAAUGAGGCGAUACAAUAUUUUAUUGGCACAACCUCCAAACGUGUCUCAAACACUUACUGCUGCAGCAAAGAGUGUUUGGCUCUGGAAAAGCCUUGUGGCUGGAGAACCACCAUUAGAACAGUCACCAUACAUAAGCAGCACAUCUUGUGGCAAUAAGGAUGAUUUGGCUACAUCAAGGAACAUUAGUUCUUUGGAUGUGACUCAAGAUGCCAACCCUGAAGUGCAGAAUAUUUUGUGUGAUCGUCAAAGCGGUUCUAACGGCAUGGCAGAUAAGAAACGUGAAGUUAAGCGACCUCGAGAAAUGGAGACAGACAAUGUGUCCAAACCAGCAAGCAAAAAGCAGCUGAAGAAGAUGAUUUGGCUGGCAAAUACCAGCACUAAGCAAACUGCUUUCAAGAAACCAAUGCAAGGGCAACUAAAAGCAGUCAAGGGGCAGGGCUUGAUCUGCUAUAAGUGUGGUGAUGGGCACCGUGCUGCAGAGUGCACCUUUAGUGGUGACUGCCACGGUUGUGGCCGACAGGGCCACAAGGAUCGAGUGUGCAAAGCAAAUCCUGACAGCAUUGUCAAGUGGCAGCUGGCACAUUCACAAGACUUAGUCAUGCCCUCACCAGGGUCUGUCUCCUGGCAGGCGAUCCCUCAUGUGCCUUCUCCACCUCCAGCUUCCCCCGUUGUGGCUGCGUCGCCACAGACAGCUGCUGAAACUCCUUCUGGCCCAACUUCGACACCACCACCGGAGUGCUUCUUGCAGGAGAGUUCUGACGUGUCAACCCCACCUCCGGCUUCUGCGGCUCUUGUACCGCCACAUACUGGUGUUGGCGAUUUUUCUGCCCCAGCUCACUCUGGAGUCUAUGCCAUGCCGACAGCUGUGUCAUUGGGUAAACCAGACGUGGUGACGCAACCGACAUCUUCAGCCCCUCAUCCUCCUACGGCGGUUCUAGCUCACCGGCCAAUGACAGGACCAGGACAGUAUCAUCAAGUGGGUGCUUCUCGCCUGUUUCCAGCUUGGACACCACCACCAUGGUGCUUCUUGCAGGCGACUCCUGCUGUGCUAAGUCCACCUCCAGCUCCUGUGCCGCCACAUACGGGUGAUGGAAAAUUUUCUGCCCCAGCUCACUCUGGAGUCCACACCAUGUCAACAGCUGUGUCAUUGGGUAAAGCAGACGUGAUGACGCAACAGGCAUCUUCAGCCCCUCAUCCUUCUACGGCAGUUCUAGCAGCUCACCAAUCAGUCACAGGACAGUAUCAUCAAGUGGGUGCUUCUCAGCUGCAACCGGCAUCUUCAGUCCCUCGUCCUCGUACGGCAAUUCUAGCUCACCAACCAGUCGCAGGACAGUAUCAUCAAGUGGGUGCUUCUCAGCUGCAUCUGGCAUCUUCAGCCCCUCAUCCUCCUACAGCGGUUCUAGCUCACCAACCAGUCGCAGGACAGUAUCAUCAAGUGGGUGCUUCUCAGCUGCAUCCAGCUUUGACAUUUCCUCCGGGGUACUUCUGGCAGGCAAUGCAACUUCUCCUGCAGCAGCGCCGCUCGUGACUUCCGUGCCGCCCUGGCGUUGCAGCUUGUCCUGCACCAGCUCACUCCAGAGUCUACCCCAUGCCCUUCCCCUUUGGCAGGCCAUGCUGACAAAGUGACAAGUAUACUCCUAUUGGAUUCUUUGUAUGCCCUUCCCUUCAAUCGCCCGAGAGGAGGAAGAGAGGAAGGAGGGCUAUGAUGAAGAAGAGGUGGAGGAGGUUUUCACUAGCUUUCUAGUAGGAGCGUUAGAGGCAAGUUGGGUUGGAGCUGCUACAGCUGCACCUUGCACUCUGGUUGAGGCAGGUACAUGCAUAUUGGUAGUCAAUGGAUGCACGUCACCAUUGAUACCAUUGGAUGUUUGUGCACCUAGUCCCAACACCUAACCUGCUCUGAUGGCAGAAGCAAGGCAAUGGUACGGAACUGGCAGUUUUGUUGAAGCGGCGUGGAAGCACUGGCUGCGGCAAUGGGGAUAAAUUUAAGAGAAGGGGGUCACGGCAUGGGAGAAGGGGAGAGAUAAGGAGCCAGGUGCAUGAAUCUUGAAGCAAAUUACAAGUGCUUAGAAGAUACUCUACUACUCCCUCCGUCCGAAAAUACUUGUCAUCAAAAUGGACAAAAAAGAUGUUUCUAGAACUAAAAUACAUCUAGAUACAUCCCCUUUUAUUCACUUUGAUGACAAGUAUAUCCGGACGGAGGGAGUACCUCUGUGCGCACUAAUAUAAGACGUUUUUGCAGUUCUGAGGGAAUAGAAAUUCCAAAUCAUGUGGCGUACGUAUCUGCGUAUGUCAUUGGAUUGUACUGAAAACAAGGAGUUACAUGCAAGCUAGAUCUAACAAAUGACAGUUAGGACAUGGGACAGAUGACCUAGGAAUUAUCAGGUUUCUUAUGACAAGGCUUUGACAAGAAGUUACUCCCUCCGUUCCAUAAUAUAAGAGCGUUUUUUAUACUAGUGUAGUGUCAAAAACGCUCUUAUAUUAUGGGACGGAGGGAGUACUUUCUUAAUAUAUGAUUUGUACCAGUCGUGAUUUAUACACCCUAGAUACUGUAAUGUGAGAAGUAUACAAAUAUAGCUCCUGGGCGACUGUUAUUAGCAGUACUGAGCUAUGUGGGUUUAUUGGCUGCCAUGUUAGGGGUGUUCAUACAAAAUCGAAGUAUGUUGCUCGCGUGUUAUAUUUUGAUUAAAACAGUGUCUUCCAGGAUAUUUGGGGAAGCUUUUCAAAUAAGUCUAAAUUUUGGAGAAAUUUUAGAGGAACAACUCUGGUCUAUGUAUAUUUCUGACAUGUACAGAAGAUUAA